CCUACGGGCGGCAGCAGUGAGGAAUAUUGGUCAAUGGGCGCGAGCCUGAACCAGCCAAGUCGCGGGAGGGACGACGGUCCUAUGGAUUGUAAACCUCUUUUGUAGGGGAGCAAAAGACGCCACGCGUGGCGUUCCGAGAGUACCCGAAGAAAAAGCAUAGGCUAACUCCGUGCCAGCAGCCGCGGUAAAACGGAGGAUGCGAGAGUUAUCCGGAUUUAUUGGGUUUAAAGGGUGCGCAGGCGGAAGAUCAAGUCAGAGGUAAAAUUGAGAGGCUCAACCUCUUCGAGCCGUUGAAACUGGUUUUCUUGAGUGAGCGAGAGGUAUGCGGAAUGCGUGGUGUAGCGGUGAAAUGCAUAGAUAUCACGCAGAACUCCGAUUGCGAAGGCAGCAUACCGGCGCUCAACUGACGCUCAUGCACGAAAGUAUGGGUAGCGAACAGGAUUAGAUACCCUAGUAGUC
rnacentral:rRNA from 1 species